AUUUAUCCCUUUAAUAAUCCUUCAGAAUAGAAUAGGAGCGCAGCGACCGAAGCAAAAGCACCUAACAAACUUUUCCGUUGGGUUUCAAUUUUCAAAAUGCGGUUAUUGAAUCCUCCAUCCCUUUCUAGAUUUCCACCUCAAAUCUGCUCUCCAUCGCAUCUGGUGCAGCGCUCAAUUCCGUUCUACAUUUAUCCAGAUUUGGUUGCUUUUCCCCACAAGGGAUUUACUAAUGGAAGCUUUCGGAUUGUGAAAGAGAAAAGUAUUUUUAGUCAAAAAGGCACUAUUCCUGGAAGGUUUUCGAAAAAACCUAACCCUGUGAUUAGUGCUGCUGCAAAUAGGGGAUCAGUUGAUGUGCCAUUUCCAACUGAUUAUACUCAACUUCUUCAGCAGGCUAGAGAAGCAACUCAAUCAGCACUCAAGGACAACAAGCAGCUAAUGGAAAUUGAAUUCCCCACUGCUGGUUUGGAAUCUGUUCCAGGGGAUGGUGAAGGUGGUAUAGAAAUGACGGGAAGCAUGCAAAUGCUUCGUGAAUUCUGUGAUCUUGCCAUAACCCAAGAAAAAGCUACAAAGACUAGAAUAUUUUUGCCGGAGGCCAAUGAAGUGGAGUUUGCGAGAAGAUCAGCUUUUGUGGGAUCUUCCUUGAAACUAGAUUACUUAACAAAGCCAUCAUUGUUCGAAGAUUUUGGUUUUGGAACCAAAGUUAAAAUGGCUGAAAGAGUGAAGCCUGGGGACGAAUUAUUCCUCGUUGGCUAUCCGUAUUUCAACGUCAACGAAAUGCUCGUGGUAGAAGAACUUUACAAAGAAGCCGUGGAAAAUACUUUGCGCAAACUGAUCAUUUUCAACGGGGAACUCGACAGAAUAAGAUCCGGAUAUUACCCUCCAUUUUUCUAUCCAAAAUUGGCUGCACUUUCUGAGACAUUUUUGCCUAAGAUCGAGACUAUAUAUUACAUACACAACUUCAAGGGGAGAAAUGCAGGAGUCCUCUUCAGGUGCUACCCGGGGGCGUGGAAAGUGCUGAGGAAAGUUAGAAGCAACGAAUAUGUACGUGUGCACGAGCAACAGACAAUGCCAUCCCUCAAGGAAGUUGCACUGGAAAUUCUUCCAUCUGCAUCCCCUAAAUAAAUUAUUCAGGCAGGAUGAAUAGUUUUGACUGAGAUGAGAUGGUGAAGAAGGGCGACAGUAAUGGGAGGAAUCGAGAAGGUGAUGGAGAACGAGGAGGUUCGUGGUCGACAGCCAUGGUUUCAGGCCUUUUUAUCGGCCUGCGUCGAAACAUGAAGUUUCACAGGCCUGUGGACCCUUAUGAAGAAUGAAAUGCAGCAUAUGAUUGAUUUUUCACACAAAUACAAAAUAUAUUUAUGUAUAUGUAUAUACAGAUAU